GGGGCUGUCAUGGUUUCGACAGGUUUAUGUUUGAUUUGUGCGGCAGUGGAGUUGUGACCAAAUCACUAAAUAAAUUUAAACGCAAAUAGAACAAAUAGUUUCGCUUUUGCUGCCUAAGAACGCUAGAUGCGUUGCAGCAACCCGGUCAAUACUUUAGCCAUUCUGCAUUGAUUGCGUAAAUAAAUGGAUACGGUGAACCUAAUGCCUGUAGGGUGAACCCGACAAUUUACAGGUAAAUUCAAUAACUUGUUCGCUCACUGUCGUGGUUAUUGUCUUACUUUGCAGUGAGAUAAACUGUAGAUGCACAAAUGUGGGACUAUUCUUGGACAGGAGUUCGACUCUCCUCAGCUCCACUG
rfam:Solobacterium moorei F0204 genomic scaffold Scfld83, whole genome shotgun sequence.